rnacentral:snoRNA from 1 species
UUGCGAUGAUGAGAUCUUUCAGUGUUGAAAGCAGGAACCUGCUUUAUGAGUUUGGGAAAUUUUAUUUCCUCCUGAGCGGUUACCUGAGCAA